rnacentral:tmRNA from 2 species
GGGGGCGACCUGGCUUCGACGUGGGUUGCGAAACCUGAGGUGCAUGCCGAGAAUGAGAUCUCUCGUAAAUAAGACUCACUAAAUAUAAAUGCAAACGAUGAAAACUUUGCUGGUGGAGAAGGCGCUAUCGCUGCGUAAGCAUUGAUAGAAACUUUUCCCCAAUCGUGCGCUGCCAAAAACCAGCGCCCCGUUGACCGAGCUCGCUUACCGGUAUCGAAUCAACGGUCAUAAGAGAUAAGCUCGCAACUUGGUUAGUCCCGCAUCAAGUUGUUAAAUCCAGGGAAUCGCCGUAAACCAUCCUGCCUGUCGGAGGGGCUACGGUUAACUUAAUAGACAAGGCUAAGCAUGUAGAACUGAUGGCAGAGGAUUUGCGGACGCGGGUUCAAUUCCCGCCGCCUCCACCA